CCGGAUUCUUUUAACCCGAUUUGGCCCUUCGGGUUCGGGGUGACUCACCUUUUCCCUAUUUCUUUCGGGAGUCUUCGACGCCGGAAAGGGUUCCGUUCCCGACGAGUUACCGGCGACGAGCGGCGGCGACGCGAGCAUCGUUCUCUUGUCGCGAGACGAGCAUCAUUGAUCAGCGACGAGCCCACUUCCAAUAAUUUCAUAUCUCAGGACUCGAGAGCUUCAUUCCAUGCCCACCCCUAUUCUAGGGUUUCUCUUCGACUCCGGGGCCGGCUCCCGCUGCUCCAAAUCGUCCACAUCGCGCUCCCUCUCUCUCUCCAAAUCGAUUCUCAUGCAUUGGUUUUAGAAGACUUCACAACCUAUGCAUAGCAUUUCUAACCUGUUGCAGGAAUGGCGACAGGGAAGGAUGUGUAAGGAAUCUACAACAAUUUAAGGAUGACAUGGAUCUUCUAAGAAACAAGCUGACAUGUGUAUUCCAGCUCGAGCACCUCAUUGUGGCAGCUGGUGGGAGUCUUUAGGAUGGUGGUGGAGAAAGGAGGGAAAGGAGGAAUCUUACUGAAGGUUCUUUAUUUCUCCAUAAAGUUGUAAAUGAACCAAGCAUUUGUGUAGGUAGGCCAUGCUGGUGCUUGGCUGAUGUUAGAAUGAUGUUGAACUUGAAAUUAAGCUGGGAUAAAGUUUGAGCUGAAUUCGAGCUGUUGAUGAGUGGCUCGUUAAGGGAUUAGGCAGAGCAAGAGGACCUGAGGGAUUUCAACUGAAAUUUAAUAAUAUUUUCUUAGAUGCAAA